rnacentral:rRNA from 1 species
GACGAACCGUGCGAACGUUGUUCGGAAUCACUGGGUUUAAAGGGCGCGUAGGCGGGCUGUCAAGUCGGUGGUGAAAUCUUUCGGCUCAACCGGAAAAUCGCCUUCGAUACUGGCGGCCUUGAGGGAGGUAGGGGCAUGCGGAACUUCCGGUGGAGCGGUGAAAUGCGUAGAUAUCGGAAGGAACACCGAUGGCGAAAGCAGCGUGCUGGACCUUUUCUGACGCUGAGGCGCGAAAGCCAGGGGAGCAAACGGGG